GACGAACGCUGGCGGCGUGCUUACACAUGCAAGUCGAACGGCAGCACGGGGCAACCUGGUGGCGAGUGGCGAACGGGUGAGUAAUGCAUCGGAACGUACCUUUCAGUGGGGGAUAACGUAGCGAAAGUUACGCUAAUACCGCAUAUUCUGUGAGCAGGAAAGCAGGGGAUCGCAAGACCUUGCGCUGAUUGAGCGGCCGAUGUCAGAUUAGCUAGUUGGUGAGGUAAAGGCUCACCAAGGCGACGAUCUGUAGCGGGUCUGAGAGGAUGAUCCGCCACACUGGAACUGAGACACGGUCCAGACUCCUACGGGAGGCAGCAGUGGGGAAUUUUGGACAAUGGGGGCAACCCUGAUCCAGCCAUGCCGCGUGAGUGAAGAAGGCCUUCGGGUUGUAAAGCUCUUUCGGCCGGGAAGAAAUCGCACGGGCUAAUACCCUGUGUGGAUGACGGUACCGGAAUAAGAAGCACCGGCUAACUACGUGCCAGCAGCCGCCGUAAUAC
rnacentral:rRNA from 1 species